CAGUAUUUCUCAAAGGCUUUCUAUAUUAGGAUCUGUUGUUACAGCCAGACACUCCUGAUUAUGUCACUGUGCCCAAGGACUUAGCAGGUCAUGGAGAAGAUAAUAUACACCUAUCAAGCUCUUAAGUAACAACACAACGAUUCACAUAGUUAAGGACAAAGAUGAAUGGCAUGGAUGUGAAAUGCUGUAAUCUCUCAAAGAAGAAAAACUUCAGCCUGGGGUAAAGAAGGUGAAUUGUAAUUCUCCACCUAACACUGACUUUGGAAAGAUUGGGGCAUUAAGGAUAUACCUGCUUGUAGAUGAUGAGGAGGAGAAAAAGAAGGAUUUCUGUUACUGGGGUGCAGGUGGUGUUUGGUUACAUAAGAGGGGACUUGACAAGAUGAGGGUUCAGCAGACUAAAGUUCACAGGUCAAAGUCAGCCUGGUGCCUGUUUCUGUAUCCCUGCAAGGUGAGUGUAUUCAAUCUUGAACAGUGGAAGAUACCAAGUGAUACAGUUUGAAUGGCUCAGAAAGGCACUCUCCAUUUUGAAUCCCCCCUU
rnacentral:lncRNA from 1 species